ACGACCUUACUUGAACAGGAUCUGUUCUAUAGGCUCGUACCGCUGCAUCCUUUACCAAUAAGGAGACAAGCACUUAAGUCUCUGACCACUGGGCCAGAGCGUGAUUAACGGCUCAGAUGCACGUGCAUCUACGGCUGUACAGGAUCGUUCCUGCCUGGCUCAUACCAGUGCAGGGUGGCCCAGUGGUUGUCUGACAGAUU
rnacentral:snoRNA from 1 species